rnacentral:rRNA from 1 species
UACGAAGGGUGCAAGCGUUACUCGGAAUUACUGGGCGUAAAGCGUGCGUAGGUGGUGAGUUAAGUCUGUCGUGAAAGCCCCGGGCUCAACCUGGGAAUGGCGAUGGAUACUGGCUCGCUAGAGUGCGGUAGAGGAGAGUGGAAUUCCCGGUGUAGCAGUGAAAUGCGUAGAGAUCGGGAGGAACAUCAGUUGCGAAGGCGGCUCACUGGCCCGGAACUGACGCUGAGGUGCGAAAGCGUGGGGAGCAAACAGG